AGCGAACGCUGGCGGCAGGCCUAACACAUGCAAGUCGAGCGCCCCGCAAGGGGAGCGGCAGACGGGAGAGUAACACGUGGGAACAUGCCCUUCAGUUCGGAACAACCCAGGGAAACUUGGGCUAAUACCGAAUACGUCCGCAAGGAGAAAGAUUUAUCGCUGAAGGAUUGGCCCGCGUCCGAUUAGCUAGUUGGUGGGGUAAUGGCUCACCAAGGCGACGAUCGGUAGCUGGUCUGAGAGGAUGAUCAGCCUCACUGGGACUGAGACACGGCCCAGACUCCUACGGGAGGCAGCAGUGGGGAAUAUUGGACAAUGGGCGCAAGCCUGAUCCAGCCAUGCCGCGUGGGUGAUGAAGGCCCUAGGGUUGUAAAGCCCUUUCGGCGGGGAAGAUAAUGACGGUACCCGCAGAAGAAGCCCCGGCUAACUUCGUGCCAGCAGCCGCGGUAAUAC
rnacentral:rRNA from 1 species